CACAUCUUCAGCGGAGACAGCCAUCGGCUCCGAUGAUCACUCCGACGGCUGUUCGACUAUCCCUUCAACAAAUUGUUCUAAUGACCACUCCGAAGCCUGUGACCAACUUUGUCUUUGGAGUGACUAAUUGUGACCAAAUUUGUAUUCAGUAUAACCAUCUGUGAUCAAGUCAAUCGCAAGUCACAAUCGAUUACAACCAACUCAAAAUUGGUCACAAACAGUCACAACAACACAUACUUGAUCGUAUAGGGUCACCACAAACAAAUCUCCAUACACCGCAGACAUGUGAUUAACCAUGAUUAACUUUGUUUUCGACGUGACUAACUGUGACCAAAAUUGUAUUCAGUGUGACUGUCUGUGACCAUGUCAAUAUCAAGUUAGAACCAAUCACAGAACCAUCAUAGCCAACCAGAGAACAACCAUAACCUAUACCGCCACCAGCGAACCAAAUAUGCACCACCUUACCAUGACCACUAACAACAGAAUCAUCACAUAUCAGAAAUCAUCGACACUGCUGAAACACCCACAACUAUCCCAAAAAUUUGGUUAAAGAAAAAAUUUGAUAAAAAAACCACCAUCACUAAAUAUUUGAUAAAGCUAUGCUGGUUCCAUCUCCUUCAUUACCAAAUCCAAAACCAAAACCAAAACCAAAACCAAUUUUCUCUCCACCACCACCUGUGAGCUCAUCUCUACCACCCACAUUAUGUUUUCCUCAAUCUACACAUCAAUUGCCGGAGCCCUCUUUUGAAUUCACAUGAGCUUUGGCGAACACCAUCGGAAAACCAAAAUUGCACUCAACACCCAAGUUAUGAAAAACCACCUCAAAUUUCAAGCUAAAAAAGCUAAAAACAGAGAAAUGUUCAGAUACAAAUGAAGAUUCAAUUGGGCACAAACUCCCGUAAAAUAUACAGCGCCAUUCAAUCUUCUCGGAUUUGAAAACUCUACAAAUGAAAUUACAACAAGGCAGGUCUGAAAAAGAGAUUCAAUAAUGUUUAUGUAUAUGUAGAUGCUCUGUCUCUCUCUCUCUCUCUCUAUAUCUUGUAUAUUGCAUCAAAAAGGGAGAUGGUUGGGUGAGUGCAUGAAGAGAGAGAGAGAGAGGUGGGAAAUGAAAAUAUUUAAGUCUUGGAUUUGGGAAGAAAAUAGGGGUAGAAUGGGCGGUGGGUAUGUACAUUUAAUUAAAUUUUCAUUAACUAUAAUUAUUAAAUCUAAU
rnacentral:lncRNA from 1 species